CUUAAAUCAAACCUGAAAAAAUAGAUUUGAUGAAUAAUGCGCGACAGGAAGUCGAGCAAGCCAUGCUAAGGCAUGGAUGCCGCUUCAUGGCGGUUAUAUUCACAUCAAAUGUAUUUUUGAAGAUCAGUUUGCCUAUUU
rfam:Pseudoalteromonas tunicata D2 1099591001414, whole genome shotgun sequence.